UAUUUUUACAGCUUGCUCUAAUGUAUUUAUAACACAAAACUUUUUUUAUAUAAACAAUUGCAUAAGAUAAAAAACAAGUAUAUUGUUUUUGAAAUAUUUUUAAAUGAUGAUACAAUGCUUUAUGAAAUGCGCAACCCUGAUUACCACGCAUUUUAACUUCCUUGGAUGGCUGAUCUUACAUACCUAUUGUUAUUUCAAUUCAGUUAAUAAGUGGAUUUGUUAUAAAUUUAUAUUAUGUUGUUUACAGUGCCUAUAAUUAUGCCGUUACCUGAGCCUACUUCUAUAAGCUGAAUAUUAGCCUAUCCAUGGAUAUCCCAAAAUCAACAGCCUGUUUCUAUUAUGCCACUAUCUGAACCCUACUUCAGUGAGCUGUACAUAUUAGGUAAUACGCAUCUGUACGGUAGUGUGUAAAUAUGUU
rnacentral:lncRNA from 1 species